rnacentral:lncRNA from 1 species
GAAUUGUGACCAGAGGUUCUCCCAUUUAACCACUAGGUGUCAGUAAGGGUUUUCAGAAAAGUACAGCCUCGUGUUUUCUCUCUCCCAUUUUCCACAAAAAGAAAGCACAGCGCCCCUCACGGAAUGGAGGUGCACAUUGCCGCUAAACCAAGCAUCGCCAUAUUGAUGUCCCAACAACGUCGAGAGGGCAUAUGACAGUGGGAAUCCUAGUGAUGACUCUACUGAGCCCGGUGCCCCCUGAUUAGACUGGUUGGAUGUCCUCCUUAACAACUACAACAAUCAGCCUCUACCAAACCAACGUAGCAUCAGCUCUGCAGCGACCCCACCUGUCACCUGCAGCUUGGAGGAAACCUCCAAGGUACCAUUCACAUGGUGAUCAAUCAUUCACACAGUGAUCAAUCACACUUAUAGGCCUACUGUGCCAAGUCAAGUGAGACAGCAGUCAAAUACCUGAUGCCAACAGUAUGCCAAACAGAAUGAUUCAUUAGUCUACAUUACUUUCAAUCAGUCACGUAAUUCUCCAUCUAUGGUUAUAGAUAUUUCUUAUAUAUGGAUCUUCCUUGAUAUCGAUUAGAUAGGUUCAGAAUUUAUUAGAAACAGCACAGUUGACAAAUGGCACAUGGAAAUCAUCAGAGGGGGGUUUACGGAGAUAGGUGGGAUGGACUGAGAKUAGCUGAGGGGUGGGGUUAGGGAGAUAGGUGGGAUGGACUGAAAGUAGCUGAGGUUGGGUUAGGGAGAUAGGUGGGUGAACCAGAGAGGUGGGAUGAACCGAGAGUAGCUGAGGGUGGGUUUAAAAGCUCAUGUUAUAUAAUAGUUAUGACAAAAACAACAUUUAUAAUGUAUAAGUACUGUCUAUCUAGAUGUAAAGUAUAUCAAAUUAUUUAUGUUUGCUACAAGCAUUUCGCUACACUCGCAUUAACAUCUGCUAACCAUGUGUAUUGACAAAUAAAAUUUGAUGUUAUUUGAUUAUGUA